rnacentral:rRNA from 1 species
GGGCCCGCACAAGCGGCGGAGCAUGCGGAUUAAUUCGAUGCAACGCGAAGAACCUUACCAAGGCUUGACAUAUAGAGGAAAAGUGUAGAAAUACACUCCCCGCAAGGUCUCUAUACAGGUGGUGCAUGGUUGUCGUCAGCUCGUGUCGUGAGAUGUUGGGUUAAGUCCCGCAACGAGCGCAACCCUCGUCCUAUGUUGCCAGCACGUAAUGGUGGGAACUCAUGGGAUACUGCCGGGGUCAACUCGGAGGAAGGUGGGGAUGACGUCAAAUCAUCAUGCCCCUUAUGUCUUGGGCUUCACGCAUGCUACAAUGGCCGGUACAGAGGGCUGCAAUACCGCAAGGUGGAGCGAAUCUAUAAAACCGGUCACAGUUCGGAUCGGAGUCUGCAACUCGACUCCGUG